GGGGAGCGGCAGACGGGUGAGUAACGCGUGGGAAUCUACCCUUGACUACGGAAUAACGCAGGGAAACUUGUGCUAAUACCGUAUGUGUCCUUCGGGAGAAAGAUUUAUCGGUCAAGGAUGAGCCCGCGUUGGAUUAGCUAGUUGGUGGGGUAAAGGCCUACCAAGGCGACGAUCCAUAGCUGGUCUGAGAGGAUGAUCAGCCACAUUGGGACUGAGACACGGCCCAAACUCCUACGGGAGGCAGCAGUGGGGAAUAUUGGACAAUGGGCGCAAGCCUGAUCCAGCCAUGCCGCGUGAGUGAUGAAGGCCCUAGGGUUGUAAAGCUCUUUCACCGGAGAAGAUAAUGACGGUAUCCGGAGAAGAAGCCCCGGCUAACUUCGUGCCAGCAGCCGCGGUAAUACGAAGGGGGCUAGCGUUGUUCGGAAUUACUGGGCGUAAAGCGCACGUAGGCGGAUCGAUCAGUCAGGGGUGAAAUCCCAGGGCUCAACCCUGGAACUGCCUUUGAUACUGUCGAUCUGGAGUAUGGAAGAGGUGAGUGGAAUUCCGAGUGUAGAGGUGAAAUUCGUAGAUAUUCGGAGGAACACCAGUGGCGAA
rnacentral:rRNA from 1 species